rnacentral:rRNA from 1 species
CCAAUAGCGUAUAUUAAAGUUGUUGCAGUUAAAAAGCUCGUAGUUGAAUUUCGGGGUCAGUAGUUUGGUCGUGCCAACGGUAUGUACUGGGCUCACUGAUUCCUCCUUCCUGAUGAACUGUAAUGCCAUUAAUUUGGUGUUGCAGGGAAACUGGACUGUUACUUUGAAAAAAUUAGAGUGUUUAAAGCAAGCUAACGCUUGAAUACAUUAGCAUGGAAUAAUGAAAUAGGACGUUCGAUCCUAUUUUGUUGGUUUUUAGGAUUGACGUAAUGAUUAAUAGGGAUAGUUGGGGGCAUUAGUAUUCAAUUGUCAGAGGUGAAAUUCUUGGAUUUAUUGAAGACUAACUACUGCGAAAGCAUUUGCCAAGGAUGUUUUCAUUAAUCAAGAACGAAAGUUAGGGGAUCGAAGACGAUCAGAUACCGUCGUAGUCUUAACCAUAAACUAUGCCGACUAGGGAUCGGAUGAUGUUAAUUUUUUAAUGACUCAUUCGGCGCCUUACG